rnacentral:lncRNA from 1 species
GAUAAUUUUGUAGAGACUUUGCGAAGCACGGAAUCUGGUGCUCGGGAGGAAUCCCUUUCACUUCGGAUUGCUUCAAAUCCUGAAGCUGUUGAGGCUCCAAAAGAAACGUUUUGCAGCAAUCAUGACACGAAUUGUGUAACUGAAUUACAGGGUAGCAUGAGUUCUGAUGUAAAUGAAUAUCUUUCUAAUUCCAAAUAGCAAUCAUGACACGAAUUGUGUAGCUGAAUUACAGGGUAACAUGAGUUCUGAUGUAAAGGAAGAUCUUUCUAAUUCUGAAGCUAAUGUGUCUCAACUAUGUCCGGCUGUUGGGUCAUUUGAAAAUCACCCAGAAUUAAAACAGGUUAUGGUGG